rnacentral:rRNA from 1 species
UACGAAGGGUGCAAGCGUUACUCGGAAUUACUGGGCGUAAAGCGUGCGUAGGUGGUUUGUUAAGUCUGAUGUGAAAGCCCUGGGCUCAACCUGGGAAUUGCAUUGGAUACUGGCAGGCUAGAGUGCGGUAGAGGGUAGUGGAAUUCCCGGUGUAGCAGUGAAAUGCGUAGAGAUCGGGAGGAACAUCUGUGGCGAAGGCGGGUCGUCUGGGCCGAUACUGACGCUGAGGAGC